rnacentral:lncRNA from 1 species
GUAGUGCGGCCGCCUCAGUAGCUAUAAUGCCUCUCGCGCCAAUCCGCGGUUCGUCUCGUAAAAUUGGAAGUAUCGCAACGGAUACUUCGCGACCGUCUCAACUCGCGCGUCUAAAAACCUCUAAAAAAGGACUUGCAUCAAAAUAACCGAAAAAUGUGACGUUUAUGUGAAAAUGUUCGGUGCUAACUUUGGUCAUUGCGGAAUGGAUAAUUAAGUGUAAAAAUCCCAGAAAAUUAUAAUACAAUGUAAUAACAUGAGAAAAUUCCAUCAGUGGUUAUUCGAAGCCCGGGACAACUUAACAAAAGCUCCGGUUAAAAAAUGGGAGUUGCAACUCGAUAGUUUCGAGCGAAACGACGAAAGUUGUAAUGGUUUCAUUGUGCUUCGCUCCGUGGCAUUGUUUGGGUGGUGGUACAGAAAUUGUGUGUAAAGCUGCGUAUUCAAACAGGUUAAAGGAGCUCUGAAUGAAACAUUCGUCGAGGAAUUCAGAACAAUGACGGAUUACACGACCUUGAUGGAAAUCGUAUCGUGCAGCAACAAAUCGGAAUACUCGAUACCACCUAACAUCACAAAAAUCCUAACAAACACUAAAGCAAAAGAAGACAUGGCAUUCUGGUUGAAAUUACUCUGGUCGGUGCUUUUUGUGUUGAUGUUGGUCGUCGCUGUGGGCGGGAAUUCCAUAGUCAUGUGGAUAGUUCUAGGUAUGAGGUAUCAUCCAUAAUUUCUAUUUCAGAAGAGCGCCCCAUUAAAACUCUAUCUCGGCAUCCUCCCUUCAAAUGAGAAUUCUCAAUUUUUUAUUGGCGCCGGUAUAAAUAUUUUCUGUGAGUGAUAAAUAAUCGAGUGGAAUUCCAGGAUGUUUAGUUCAAGAGCGCGAGCGAAUUUACCUUUAAAUUCUUCGAAUUCUUUUGCAUUCAUUGGAACGAGCAAAAAUACGAGGGUAAGAGACACUUCAUCAAACAAAACAUAGAUCACUAAAUAUGUGGAUUGUAUCGACACGAAAAUUUCAAUAAAAGCUGA